GACGAACGCUGGCGGCGUGCUUAACACAUGCAAGUCGAGCGGUAAGGCCCUUUCGGGGGGUACACGAGCGGCGAACGGGUGAGUAACACGUGGGUGACCUGCCCUCAGCUCUGGGAUAAGCCUGGGAAACUGGGUCUAAUACUGGAUAUGACUCCACGGUGCAUGUCGUGGGGUGGAAAGCCUUGUGCGGCUGAGGAUGGGCCCGCGGCCUAUCAGCUUGUUGGUGGGGUGANGGCCUACCAAGGCGACGACGGGUANCCGGCCUGAGAGGGCGACCGGCCACACUGGGACUGAGACACGGCCCAGACUCCUACGGGAGGCAGCAGUGGGGAAUCUUGCGCAAUGGGCGAAAGCCUGACGCAGCGACGCCGCGUGAGGGA
rnacentral:rRNA from 1 species